UACAGAGGUCUCAACCGUUGUUCGGAUUCAUUGGGCGUAAAGAGCUCGUAGGCGGUUUGGCAAGUCGGGUGUGAAAUCUCCGGGCUCAACUCGGAGAGGCCACUCGAUACUGCUAUGACUAGAGUCCGGUAGGGGACUAUGGAAUUCCUGGUGUAGCGGUGAAAUGCGCAGAUAUCAGGAGGAACACCGGUGGCGAAGGCGGUAGUCUGGGCCGGUACUGACGCUGAGGAGCGAAAGCGUGGGGAGCGAACAGG
rnacentral:rRNA from 1 species